rnacentral:rRNA from 1 species
GAUAAACGCUAGCGGCAGGCCUAACACAUGCAAGUCGCGGGGCAGCAUAACAAUUAGCAAUAAUCGUUGAUGGCGACCGGCGCACGGGUGCGUAACACGUAUGUAACCUGGCCUUUACAGGGGGAUAGUCAGAGGAAACUUUGAAUAAUACCCCAUAACACACCAUUAAGGCAUCUUAAAGGUAGUUAAAGGAGCGAUCCGGUAAAGGAUGGGCAUGCGACCGAUUAGACAGUUGGUGAGGUAACGGCUCACCAAAUCCACGAUCGGUAGGGGGGUCUGAGAGGACUACCCCCCCACCACUGGUACUGAGAUACGGACCCAG